GGUGGGUUUGUAAGUCAGAUGUGAAAGCCUCCUGUUCAACGGGAGAAUUGCAUCUGAAACUACUGAUCUUGAGUGUAGGAGGGGAGAAUGGAACUUCUGGUGGAGCGGUGAAAUGCGUAGAUAUCAGAGGGAACGCCGGCGGCGAAAGCGAUUCUCUGGCCUAUUACUGACACUCAGUGUGCGAAAGCUAGGGGAGCAAACGGGAUUAGAUACCCCGGUAGUCCUAGCCGUAAACGAUGGGCACUAAGUAGAGGGGUUU
rnacentral:rRNA from 1 species